GCGAUUGUUCCCGUUAUACACAUGGGGAACCUGGGGCUUGGCGAGAUUAGUAAAUUGCUUGAGUCCACAUGUCGUAGGUGGUGAAGUUGGGAUCCUAACCCAAUCAGAUGAAUCCCAAGGUUCUUGCUUUUUCCACUUUUGUCAUUGGUUGUACAGAAUACGUUAGUUUAAGGUUGAAGUAGCACCAACCCCCACCCCGACCCCCCGCCAGAGAGGUUGUUCUGGUUAUUCUAUGAGCACGAGAAGUUUAUAAUCUCUUUCAAGGAACCAUCCAGAGUAAAGUCUGUUACUGGGGACACACGGCGAUUACCAAUGGAUUAGUUCUAGAAUCACACUUCUGUAAUCUCGUCUUCACCAAGAUUUAAUUACAUCUCCGGCGUUUGCUUUGUGAUGCUGCUGCCCUCCAACAGCUAACGGGAUAGUUGGUGGAAGUCUGCAAAUAAGAACACGCUCUGCCCGACGAGGGGGCGAGGUAGCACAGGAGCCGCGCUCGGCAGGAGCCCACCAGUAUUUCCAGUCUGUGAUGCUCAGCUCACCGCACAGUGUUAUACAGACACGGCUGCCCACACGUGCACGCGUGCACACGCACACGCCAAGAGAGAAAGGGUGAGAGGAGGGACGUACGGCUUCCUUCCUCUUGCUUCGAAUUUCUAAUGAAACAGUGUUGAAUCCGUCACUUAGGAAUCACAGUUUGGGGCUAUGUCUUCAGAACUAGGUAAACAUCACCUGACGUCCAAUACACGCUCUGCUGACUGGUAGGUUUUGCGUCCCAAGUAACCUGCAAAGGGAAGGGUACUCGCUAGACCGACUGCCCGACUUGGGCAGCUCCUGGCGGGAACGCGGCGUAACAGAAGGCUUUUGUGACCCUGGGAGACAGUCGAACCAGAAACAACCUUCCUAUCCUGCCAGCUUUCAUUACCAGACCCCACUGAACAAGUGAAGCCUAUUUAACAUCUGUCCGGGAAGGAAAAAAUCCAUAUCUGUUUUUUAGCCAGGAUUUUUCAUCCUGUUCUUUUUUAUCCUGGGGAUAUUUCCUUCCACCUCACUUCUCAGCGCAGCCUCACUGUGCUACACCAAGUCACACGGCAUCCUGAUGUCUCCACAUUUCCCCGUGCGUACGCUGCUGCCCGGCCCUCGCUCCUGCAAACAUACCCUGCAGUACCUGGAAGCCAGCGUCAGGGCUCGACACCUGGCAGGCUGAGGCCUGCAGCGCGUUUGGACAGAAAUGGCUCCAUCCUGACAGCUGCCCAGGUUCAGUGCUAGAACCGUUCGGGCUCAAGAAAGAAUGAGGCAACCUCGAGUCAGAAAGCAAGAGUGUCUUGAAUAAGCACCCGGGCUUUCACAGCAGACAACUUAGAUUACACAUGUGGUCCACGUUUGCGGUUCCAUUAUCUUUCUGUUGGGCAGCUCUGCCCCAAGCCCUCUCCAUCACCGAAUUACUCAACAGCCAACAGCUUGUGUAGAGAUUUUUCAUUCCACCAAUAAUCCAGCCGCACCCUCUAUGUUCCAGGCACCAAAUCUACGGCACCAAACAAGGCAACAUAGUCCUACAGUCAAGGAACUUAGAGUAUCCAUGCACAGACAAACAAGCGAAUAAAACAAUUUCUUAAGUACAAAGUGUGCUGAGGGCUAUCAAGGAAAUAAACUGAAUAAUCACGGAAGACUUCAACGAAGUGACAUCUAAGCUAACCUCUAAAAGCUAAGAAGGUGCUCACCCACUAGUCAGAAAGAGAGCAAAUGUGUGUGUGCUUGGUGAGGUGCAUCAUGGUGGAGGGAGCCACAUCCAAAGGCCUGUGGAGUGAAGAAGGCCAGAGGGCAGUGAGGAAGGAGGGGGUGGGCGGAGAAGGGGUCACAUAGGCUGGGGCUGUGGACGGGAGGUGGGAGUUUAAUCCAAGCGGUAUUUCUGAACCCUGCAGAGACUCAACUGAUGAGGGGUAGUGGAAGCCAAGCCACAUGUCAGGAGUCUAUUGCAUAACUGGAAAGACGAUCGGAACUGGACUGAGGGUUUAUAGUGCAAAUAGAGAUAGGUGGGAGGACAGGAGCAACAGGGCUUGCUCAGGGCUUGGAUGCAAGGCUUGAUGAAGAAGUUCACACCAAAGACACCUCUCAGAUAUGUCUACAAUCCAGAUCUUUACAUAAACUCUUCUGAUGUGAUACGAGGGCUGCAUUCUAACUGCGUGCACCAGUCCAUCGCAUGCGAAAAUGCACUCUGGUUUAGUAAGAAUCCGUGUGAGCUUCCCAAACACAGAUCCUCAAGACCAUUCAUAACUAAAUCUCCAUGGGAAAAAAAAAACACAUAUUGGGCCAAACACGGAAAUCUGCAAUUUUAUCUUCUCUUCAUAAUAUAUUUAAAGUGAGACUUUAUUAUUUUUUAAAUUCCUCUUCAAAAUCUUUAAUAGCUCCCACCUGUGUUGUUGUUUUCUAAAGCUAAAUUGGUUAGCUGGUCAUCUGGUAAACCCAAAGCAUGGGUUUCAUUCGUGGAAUGAAAAAUUUAUAACCCUGGUUAUAAACUGGUUAACCUAGAAAUGAUUCAAGGAAAUCAUUUAACUAGGCCACUGCUUGGAGUAACCUGCCUCAGUGUAAGCUGUGAAUCCAAAUGGCUAGAUGAUAUCGGGGUAACAGUCUCAUCUAGGACAACAAUCAGGGACUUGGCAUGACCACUUUCAUGAAAUAAAGGGGAAAAAAAAGAGCAAGAAGGACAGCAUCCAAUAUGCACAUACCGAACCGUAAAACUUGUGGCUAAAUUACUGCACCAAUUUGAAAACCUUAAGAUCUAGGAAGAAAAAAAAUGACAUUAAAAAAUUGCUCGGAAUCCUUUGAAUUAUCAAGUUGAUUGGCUCCCAUUAAUGCAGAAUGCUUAGAAUUUGGGUUUCCAAAACUUACAAGCCACAUGACAAAGCUCAUGUAAACCCAUCAAACUCCUGAGUUUGUGGUUCAGACGUGCUCCUGUGCUAUAGUUUUCACCAGCUCAUGUCAAGCAUAUUAUGGGAGGAUAAACUAUAGGUUUUCUCCCAACAUUUUCCAAGUGACUCACCUAAGCACUGGGGCGUGGAGAAUGGCCAGCAGUGGAUGACGGUGGUGUACCUUGCAGACAACCCACAAAGAAACAGAAAGAUGUCAAGGACCCACCACAACGACCCUAGACACCAGCACAAGCAGAGGCAAACUGCUGAGAAAGGAGUCCCUAUGAGAGCUUUGCUCGCAGCUCCCACCGGAGGCCUGGCCCACAGUUGAUACUGUGCUGACCCAUCUGUAAAUUGUAUGGUUUUCUCCAAAUCUGCUCCAAUUGCUCACUUAUCUGCUGAAUUUCUAAUGAACGUUUAUCGUGUCUACUCAAUUUUUACUGAAUUUUUAUACACACCAAGUGACUGUUCUUUGACUUGCACAACCAUUAUGAAUUUUAUCUGUACAGAACUAGGUCAGCUUCAAGAAAUCCUGAAUAUCCUAUAUAGGAAAAGAGAUGCCUAGGCGAAACAGAUUCAUGCCUGGCUCCCAUUUGAAAUCAUUUCUUCUCAUUCCUUUUAAUUUCUAAACAGCUAGAAUUUUAACUUUAAGUGCUUUGGAAAGUGCUUAUAAUAACUAAUCGGCAAGGGUGCCUGUCAAGGAUCUGGAUCUUGUUCAAUGUGGAAGAGUCUCAGUCUCCUUUUACCUCAUGUUUAUUAGCAUUCUCCAGAAAAACAGAACCAAUAGGAUGCACGUAUUGUUACAUAAGGAGAUUUAUUACAAAGAAUUGGCUCACGUGAUCGUGGAGGAUGGCAGGUCCAGAUGUGCAGUGUGGGCCGUAGGCUGACGACCCAGGACAGCCAAUGCUGCAGAUAAAGCGUGAAGACAGUCUUGCUCAGGGAGGCCAGUCCUCUUGUUCUGUUCAGGCCUUCCCCUGAUUGCAUGAGGCCCAUCCCAUGAUGGAGAAUAAUCUGUUCUACUGGAUUAAAAUGUCAGCCUCACCGGAAACACCCUGGCAGAAACACCCAGAAUAGUGUUUGACCAAAUACCUGGCCACCUCAUGGCCCAAUCCAACUGACAUAUAACAUUAGCCACCAGAUCUUGUCACGUCCAAUCUCUCCUUUCUCCAAGCACUAAGUCCUAUGGUGAAAAGAGCUCGGCCGCAAAUUUCAAGUGCUCUCAGGCCCUCAUGAACAAUGUAGUUUAGCAGCGGAAACACAAGUGGGUGUUGGUAUCAGCUGUGACCGGUUCAAAUCCUCUAUCCAGCAAGGCGGGUUGAGGACCUCGGGGAAGUCAUGUGACGUCCUGGAACCCCAGUUCAGCUCCUUGUGCAGUGGAGAUGACAGCUUGUCUCCCCUGGGUUUAUGGUGAGAAUCAACUAUCAUCCCCCAACGUGCCUGGCACGUGCCAGGCUGCCCACGAGGCUCGUCGGAGCGGGCGGCGCGGCUGCGUGGCCUGCGCCUGACAUCAGCUGUGUCUGGCUCCAGGCGGGCGGAUCUGCCCGGGACUGAGCUUCGGGAACCCCAGAGCCCCGUGGGAAAGAACCCACAGGGAACGCGGCAGUCAGGCGAGCUGGCCCGAGAAGAGAAAGCCUUAGUUAUGGGGCAAGGCUGGCUUUGCGAGUUCAGGGCCACGGCCCGCUGCCUACCGGCGCCUUUCCGGAUCCACACCGGAGGCCGGGGGAGGGAGGAAGGAGACUCUGAACAAAAACAGAGUUAGUUUUGCUAGAAACCUGUGGCUUACCCUCUUGCACUUCCUCCCCUCUUCUUUCCCCACGCGCAGGGGCGCCGAGACUUCCUUUACACUGGUGGCUUUGGCCUGCGGAGCCCAGCUCGGUCUCCACACCUGCACUCUCUGCCGGGUGCCUUGGGGGAGGCAGGCACCUGGCUUCCUGCGGGUCCUCCCCAAAGCUGCAUUCUUCGGAGGGAUUAGCAUUUACAGGGACCCCAGAGGGACUCAGCCCUUCUAACCCAAAUAGGCAAGCCCACUUCCCAACUAGCAACUUCACAAGUAAGCCACAUGUUAGUUAACAGGUACAUUCCCUGGUGGGCCACCACGCCAGCCUCCCCCCUGGCCCCCCGACACACGACCCCUCCAAACACGGAAACUGGACUCAGAAUCAGGGCAGCAUCAGGAAUUCACCCUGGGAACUGGCCCAGACGUAAACUGGAAAUACACUACAGUGUUGGUUCGGUUUUAUGGGCUGAAAAUGGUCAAACCUGGUGCACCCAGGAUUAGAUCUCAUCUUUUCAACACUAAGGCUACCUCUGUUUUCCUGGUCUACCUUCCCCACCCUGUGCUGGCCAGCGUCUGUCAGUAGAGAGAAACAUUCCUGCUCACUCUCCCCACCAAAUCUACUUCUUCUAGAUUAGUGCUGACCAAGAGCAUGUCCUGCGACAUCGGAGCUAUCCAAUGUGACAGCUAUGUGUGGCUCCUGAGCACGUGAAAUGUGCUAGUGGGACUUGAUGAACAGAACUUUUAAUAUUGAUUCAAGUUGAAGUUGCCCCUGAUAGCUAGUGCCUAUCGUAGUUGCAUCGUGCAAAUGUAGAUAAUCACUCCUCAGCCAUAUGAGACGCCUGUCGGGCAUUUAAUAGACACAUAACCCUGUUUUCAGGACUGUGGAUACCAGCUACACAGCUCUACUCUCCUUGAAAGUCUCUAAUUUUAAGGAAUUUGAAUUCCUCAGUGAAGGAAUUCAUAGACAAUAAUUUCUGGUGGGGGAAGCUCUGUUCAACCCUCAAACCAUCCUGAGGGUUAAUCUUAGGCGAGUUGUUUCAAGGUUCAUCACUCGCAAGCCCUAACAAUAGAAAUCCAAAGAAUGAACACCAGUUUGGUUGUCUCUCCAAUUCCUGAAGACCUUCUGAGCUCCCUUGGUUCCCAGGAUAUUCCCAGUAGACCUUCUACCAUCUACCCUGUGUACCUGCGGGUCAUGUCCUCCCCUCAGUAGACUUAGGGGCGACCCUUCUCAUCCCUGAAGGCCAGAAGUAUAUUCAUAGAGCAAAAGAAUUUCCCUAUACUCAAAAAUGUCUUAAA